rnacentral:rRNA from 1 species
GACGAACGCUGGCGGCGUGCCUAAUACAUGCAAGUAGAACGCUGAAGGAGGAGCUUGCUUCUCUGGAUGAGUUGCGAACGGGUGAGUAACGCGUAGGUAACCUGCCUGGUAGCGGGGGAUAACUAUUGGAAACGAUAGCUAAUACCGCAUAAGAGUAGAUGUUGCAUGACAUUUGCUUAAAAGGUGCAAUUGCAUCACUACCAGAUGGACCUGCGUUGUAUUAGCUAGUUGGUGAGGUAACGGCUCACCAAGGCAACGAUACAUAGCCGACCUGAGAGGGGGCUCGGCCACACUGGGACUGCGACACGGCCCAGACUCCUACGGGAGGCAGCAGUAGGGAAUCUUCGGCAAUGGACGGAAGUCUGACCGAGCAACGCCGCGUGAGUGAAGAAGGGUUUCGGAUCGUAAAGCUCUGUUGUAAGAGAAGAACGAGUGUGAGAGUGGAAAGUUCACACUGUGACGGUAUCUUACCAGAAAGGGACGGCUAACUACGUG